rnacentral:tRNA from 1 species
UUAUGUUUUAGUAUAAGCUGUAUAAAAGUUUUUGAUACUUUAGGAAAUAGGCAGACCCUAUUAAACAUA